CUGUCUUCACUUUGACAGCUAGCAUGCAGGCUCGGCCUGUGCCACCCCUCAGCUGGCUGCUGUAGUUGUAGUCGGAAUCUUCUCAUCUCAGAAAGGAUUUGCAGAUCUAUUCUGGGGAAACCCCAUCAUAAAAUCUCAGCACAGUGAUAUUCAGGUGUAAGGAUAAGGCGGGAGCUGGGGCCAGCUGAGAGCAACCAGCAUCUAGGCUCAUCGCUCCUGAAGAAGGCACACGUGGAUAUAAGGAGGCGGUGUUUACAUAUUACCAUCUUACUGGACUCUUCCUGUGAGGCUCCUCACAUCCCUUUAAGAAGAGCAGCAUUUCCCUCGUGUGAAAUGUAGAGGUGAGCUCGGCUUCCUGUUUGCCGGGAGUAUCUAAAGCAGCAGUUCUUACCCUGUGGGUUGAGACCCCAGAGGGGUCGCAUCUCAGAUGAUAUCCUACAGUCAGAGAUCCUGCACAUUAGAGACCCUGCACAUCAGAGACCCUGCACAUCAGAGACCCUGCACAUCAGAGAUCCUGGUUGAUGCUUACCACAAUGCCAAAGGAACUGUAUUAAAGGGUUGCAGCAUUAGGAAGGUUAAAAACCACUGGAAAAAGGCAAAUGUCUGAACAAUAACUGUUUGUCUUUGAAGGCCACAUAGUCCAGUAAAACGUGACAUUGACCCAUUUCAGAUGACUUUGACCCGACUUGUGAAAUAUUAACCUUGACAUUAUUGUGGUACAGCACAUUCUCCCACUGAGGGCCACUACCCACCCUAAAGAUACUCUGAAUCAAUCCAAGUCGAAGAAAACUUGCCCAGAAAAACACACAUGCGACUUCCAGAUCCUCCUUGAAAGGAGUCAGGGGAAGAUGAAGAAUUUUGCUUCUUUCAACCAUAAAUACUAGUUUCUUUUCCCCAU
ensembl:lincRNA AI427809 expressed sequence AI427809